GACGAACGCUGGCGGCGUGCUUAACACAUGCAAGUCGAACGGUGAAGCUCCAGCUUGCUGGAGUGGAUCAGUGGCGAACGGGUGAGUAACACGUGAGCAACCUGCCCCAGACUCUGGAAUAAGCGCUGGAAACGGCGUCUAAUACUGGAUACGAAGAGAAUCUGCAUGGGUAUCUCUUGGAAAGUUUUUCGGUUUGGGAUGGGCUCGCGGCCUAUCAGCUUGUUGGUGAGGUAAUGGCUCACCAAGGCGACGACGGGUAGCCGGCCUGAGAGGGCGACCGGCCACACUGGGACUGAGACACGGCCCAG
rnacentral:rRNA from 1 species